rnacentral:rRNA from 1 species
GGAAUUUUGCGCAAUGGGGGAAACCCUGACGCAGCGACGCCGCGUGCGGGAUGACGGCCCUCGGGUUGUAAACCACUGUCGGGGGGGACGAAGCUCUCACGGUACCCCCAAAGGAAGCACCGGCUAACUCCGUGCCAGCAGCCGCGGUAAUACGGAGGGUGCAAGCGUUGUCCGGAAGCACUGGGCGUAAAGGGCGCGUAGGCGGCGCGGUAAGUAGGGGGUGAAAUCCUGCGGCUCAACCGCAGAAUGGCCUCCUAAACUGCCGUGCUCGAGCACAGUAGAGGCAGGUGGAAUUCCCGGUGUAGCGGUGGAAUGCGUAGAGAUCGGGAAGAACACCAGUGGCGAAGGCGGCCUGCUGGGCUGUUGCUGACGCUGAGGCGCGACAGCGUGGGGAGCAAAC